rnacentral:misc_RNA from 1 species
GAUGAAGAACGUAGCGAAAUGCGAUAAGUAAUGUGAAUUGCAGAAUUCAGUGAAUCAUCGAAUCUUUGAACGCACAUUGCGCCCGCUAGUAUUCUGGCGGGCAUGCCUGUCCGAGCGUCAUUUCAACCCUCAAGCCCCCGGGCUUGGUGUUGGGGAUCGUCGAGCCUCCGCGCCCGCCGUCCCCUAAAUCUAGUGGCGGUCUCGCUGUAGCUUCCUCUGCGUAGUAGCACACCUCGCACUGGGAAACAGCGCGGCCACGCCGUUAAACCCCCAACUUCUGAACGUUUGACCUCGGAUCAGGUAGGAAUACCCGCUGAACUUAAGCAUAUCAAUAAGCGGAGGA